AUGGGGUGUAUCAAACUGAACACGGACAGGUUCUUUGAUUCGUCUCGUAAUGCUGGGGCUGGAAUGAUUGUACGAGAUCACCGCGGGACCAUUAAUUUCUCGGCGUGCAGGACCUUGUACUCCUGUAGAGAUGCCUUGGAGGUGGAGCUUUGCGCAUGCAUGGAAGGGCUCUCGUUGGCGAUUCAACGUAGCGAUCUUUCUAUAGUGGUGGAAAUGGAUUCUCUUGAAGCCGUGUCCAUGAUUUCAUGUGACAUCGUCGAUUGCUCUGUCUAUGCUUCCAUCGUGAAGGAGAUUAAGCACUUGUUAUCCCUUAGACAAACUUGUAUCUCUCAUAUUGUUAGGUCUCAAAAUAAGGCUAGUGAUAUAUUAGCAGGUUUUGCUAGAACCCAAGGUAGGACCAUGACCUGGCUAGGGGCUGGUCUGGUUGAGUUGAUGGAGAUUGCUUCUCUUGAUUGUAGGGACAUCUUGAUUGAGUAA
rnacentral:rRNA from 1 species